rnacentral:pre_miRNA from 1 species
UAAUCUCAUUCGGUAUGGACUGAUGAAUGUUUAUAAAACAGUCGUACCAUAUGAGAUAUC